GUGGGGAAUCUUGCGCAAUGGGCGAAAGCCUGACGCAGCCAUGCCGCGUGAAUGAUGAAGGUCUUAGGAUUGUAAAAUUCUUUCACCGGGGACGAUAAUGACGGUACCCGGACAAGAAGCUCCGGCUAACUUCGUGCCAGCAGCCGCGGUAAUACGAAGGGGGCUAGCGUUGCUCGGAAUUACUGGGCGUAAAGGGCGCGUAGGCGGACAGCUUAGUCAGAGGUGAAAGCCCAGGGCUCAACCUUGGAAUUGCCUUUGAUACUGGCUGUCUUGAGUUUGGGAGAGGUGAGUGGAACUCCGAGUGUAGAGGUGAAAUUCGUAGAUAUUCGGAAGAACACCAGUGGCGAAGGCGACUCACUGGCCCAAUACUGACGCUGAGGCGCGAAAGCGUGGGGAGCAAACAGGAUUAGAAACCCUUGUAGUCC
rnacentral:rRNA from 1 species